rnacentral:rRNA from 1 species
GUUUGAUCCUGGCUCAGAACGAACGCUGCGGCAUGGCUAAGACAUGCAAGUCGUACGAACCGUUUUUCGGAAUGGUUAGUGGCGAACGGGAGAGUAAUGCAUAGGUAAUGUACCCUGAACACCGGGAUAACCACGGGCUUGCCCUUUGCGAAAGUGUGGCUAAUACCGGAUGAAGUCGUCGGAGCGCAUGUUCUGACGACCAAAGGUGGGGACCUUCGGGCCUGCCGGUUUUGGAUCAGCCUAUGUCCUAUCAGCUUGUUGGUGGGGUAAUGGCCUACCAAGGCAUCGACGGGUAGCGGGCGUGAGAGCGUGGCCCGCCUCAUCGGGACUGAGACACUGCCCGGACACCUACGGGUGGCUGCAGUAACGAAUAUUGGGCAAUGGGCGAAAGCCUGACCCAGCAAUGCCGCGUGCAGGAGGAAGCCCCUCGGGGUGUAAACUGCUGUCAGGGUUUAGCAAGCAAGGGACGUCAAUAGCGUCCGGCGCUGAGCAGGCCCAAAGGAAGUCUCGGCUAACUCUGUGCCAGCAGCCGCGGUAAGACAGAGGAGGCAAGCGUUGUUCGAAUUACUGGGCUUAAAGAGCGCGUAGGCGGCUUGGUAAGCGUCCCGUGAAAGCCCUCGGCUCAACCGAGGAACUGCGGGGCGAACUGCCUGGCUUGAGUUUGGUAGAGGUGCCUGGAACGCUAGGUGGAGCGGUGAAAUGCGUAGAUAUCUAGCGGAACGCCAGAUGCGAAAGCGGGGCACUGGGCCAAUACUGACGCUGGGGCGCGAAAGCGUGGGGAGCAAACAGGAUUAGAUACCCUGGUAGUCCACGCCGUAAACGAUGCACACUAGAUCUGGGAGCCUCUGACGGUGCCCGGGUCCAAGGGAAACCGUUAAGUGUGCCGCCUGGGGACUACGGCCGCAAGGCUAAAACUCAAAGGAAUUGACGGGGGCUCACACAAGCGGUGGAGCAUGUGGCUUAAUUCGAAACAACGCGAAGAACCUUACCCAGGUUUGACAUGCUUGGAUGCUACCCGGGGAUAACUCGGGAUGCUGCCCUUCGGGGUGAAACUUGCACAGGUGUUGCAUGGCUGUCGUCGGCUCGUGCUGUGAAGUGUCGGGUUAAGUCCCUUAACGAGCGAAACCCCUAUCGCUAGUUGCCAGCGAGUCAAGUCGGGGACUCUAGCGAGACUGCCGGCGUUAAGCCGGAGGAAGGUGGGGACGACGUCAAGUCAUCAUGGCCUUUAUGCCUGGGGAUGCACACGUGCUACAAUGGCGAGUACGGAUCGAUGCGAUACCGCGAGGUGGAGCAAAUCGCAAAAAACUCGCCCCAGUUCGGAUUGGAGUCUGUAAUUCGACUCCAUGAAGUUGGAAUCGCUAGUAAUCGCGUAUCAGCUACGACGCGGUGAAUGUGUUCCUGAGCCUUGUACACACCGCCCGUCAAGUCAUGGAAGCUGGUAGCACCCGAAGUCCGCUUAGCUAACUUUCGAGAGGCGGCGGCCGACGGUGAGACUGGUAACUGGGACUAAGUCGGAACAAGGUA